GAUGAACGCUGGCGGCGUGCCUAAUACAUGCAAGUCGAGCGAACAGAUGAGGAGCUUGCUCCUCUGACGUUAGCGGCGGACGGGUGAGUAACACGUGGAUAACCUACCUAUAAGACUGGGAUAACUUCGGGAAACCGGAGCUAAUACCGUAUAAUAUAUUGAACCGCAUGGUUCAAUAGUGAAAGACGGUUUUGCUGUCACUUAUAGAUGGAUCCGCGCCGCAUUAGCUAGUUGGUAAGGUAACGGCUUACCAAGGCAACGAUCCGUAGCCGACCUGGGAGGGUGACCGGCCACACGGGAACUGGGACACGGUCCAGACUCCUACGGGAGGCAGCAGUAGGGAAUCUUCCGCAAUGGGCGAAAGCCUGACGGAGCAACGCCGCGUGAGUGAUGAAGGUCUUCGGAUCUUAAACCUCUGUUAUUAGGGAAGAACAAAUGUGUAAGUAACUAUGCACGUCUUGACGGUACCUAAUCAGAAAGCCACGGCUAACUACGUG
rnacentral:rRNA from 1 species